CUCAGAUUGAACGCUGCGGCAGGCCUAACACAUGCAAGUCGAGCGGCAGCGGGAAGUAGCUUGCUACUUUGCCGGCGAGCGGCGGACGGGUGAGUAAUGUCUGGGAAACUGCCUGAUGGAGGGGGAUAACUACUGGAAACGGUAGCUAAUACCGCAUGACCUCGCAAGAGCAAAGUGGGGGACCUUCGGGCCUCACGCCAUCGGAUGUGCCCAGAUGGGAUUAGCUAGUAGGUGAGGUAAUGGCUCACCUAGGCGACGAUCCCUAGCUGGUCUGAGAGGAUGACCAGCCACACUGGAACUGAGACACGGUCCAGACUCCUACGGGAGGCAGCAGUGGGGAAUAUUGCACAAUGGGCGCAAGCCUGAUGCAGCCAUGCCGCGUGUGUGAAGAAGGCCUUAGGGUUGUAAAGCACUUUCAGCGAGGAGGAAGGGUUCAGUGUUAAUAGCACUGUACAUUGACGUUACUCGCAGAAGAAGCACCGGC
rnacentral:rRNA from 1 species